rnacentral:ribozyme from 1 species
CUAUCAACUCCGCCUGUAGCUGUUGUAGAUUUACUGCCGGUCCCAAGCCCGGGUAAAGGAGGAGGGUUGG